rnacentral:rRNA from 1 species
AUUGAACGCUGGCGGCAGGCCUAACACAUGCAAGUCGAACGGUAGCACAGAGAGCUUGCUCUCGGGUGACGAGUGGCGGACGGGUGAGUAAUGUCUGGGAAACUGCCCGAUGGAGGGGGAUAACUACUGGAAACGGUAGCUAAUACCGCAUAACGUCGCAAGACCAAAGUGGGGGACCUUCGGGCCUCACACCAUCGGAUGUGCCCAGAUGGGAUUAGCUAGUAGGUGGGGUAAUGGCUCACCUAGGCGACGAUCCCUAGCUGGUCUGAGAGGAUGACCAGCCACACUGGAACUGAGACACGGUCCAGACUCCUACGGGAGGCAGCAGUGGGGAAUAUUGCACAAUGGGCGCAAGCCUGAUGCAGCCAUGCCGCGUGUAUGAAGAAGGCCUUCGGGUUGUAAAGUACUUUCAGCGGGGAGGAAGGCGGUGGAGUUAAUAACUUCACCGAUUGACGUUACUCGCAGAAGAAGCACCGGCUAACUCCGUGCCAGCAGCCGCGGUAA